rnacentral:lncRNA from 1 species
GGAGAAGAAAAUUAAGGAGCACGUGCGUGGGAGCCAGAGGCCCAGAGUCGAUCGUAUGCGUGGACCCCUUAGGGUUGAGUGAGUGGUCGGUUGAAUAGUAUAAUCUAACGAGCAAAAAUAAUUAAAGGGAUUAGUCUAACGGCAAAAAACUUGAUAGCACCAAGUGUUUGGUGCUAUCGAUAGCACAGCAGCCGAACUCUAUAUAUAUUAAUUAAUGUGGAGCAGCGGUGGAAGGUUAAUUAUAGG